GUGAGGAAUUUUCCGCAAUGGGCGAAAGCCUGACGGAGCAAUGCCGCGUGGAGGAGGAAGGCCCGAGGGUUGUAAACUCCUUUUCUCAGAAAAGAAGAUCUGACGGUAUCUGAGGAAUAAGCAUCGGCUAACUCCGUGCCAGCAGCCGCGGUAAGACGGAGGAUGCAAGCGUUAUCCGGAAUGAUUGGGCGUAAAGCGUCUGUAGGUGGUUUAUUAAGUCUGCUGUUAAAGCACAGGGCUCAACCCUGUAGAGGCGGUAGAAACUGGUAGGCUUGAGUAUGGUAGGGGUAGAGGGAAUUCCCGAUGUAGUGGUGAAAUGCGUUGAUAUCGGGAAGAACACCAAAGGCGAAAGCACUCUGCUGGGCCAAUACUGACACUGAGAGACGAAAGCUAGGGGAGCAAAUGGG
rnacentral:rRNA from 1 species